GACGAACGCUGGCGGCGUGCUUAACACAUGCAAGUCGAGCGGAAAGGCCCUUCGGGGUACUCGAGCGGCGAACGGGUGAGUAACACGUGAGUAAUCUGCCCUUGGCUUUGGGAUAACUACCGGAAACGGUGGCUAAUACCGGAUACGACAACCGACUGCAUGGGCCGGUUGUGGAAAGUUUUUUCGGCCAGGGGUGUGCUCGCGGCCUAUCAGCUUGUUGGUGGGGUAAUGGCCUACCAAGGCUUCGACGGGUAGCCGGCCUGAGAGGGUGACCGGCCACAACGGGGCCCGGACCCCGACCGGAGGCCUCAGGGGGGGAGCGGGUGGGAAGAGUGGACAAUUGGCGGAAACCCGGACCGAGAACGCCGGAGGAGGGAGGGCCGGCUUCCGGUUUUGAAACUGUUUCAGGACCGGGGAAAAGCCAAUUAAUGUGGUGACGGUAGGUACAGAAGAAGCACCGGCCAACUACGUG
rnacentral:rRNA from 1 species